AUGUUAAUUUCUCUACCAUAAACUGCCUCCAAUGUCAUUUUAGAUAAUUAUGCAGUAUGUCCAACUGGUCUCCACAGACCAAGUCUGAAGCGCGCCAACCCAGGACCUCCACAUCUGGCUUCUUCACCUGCUGGAUCAACUGGGACCAGCCACCUGGACAGCUGAUGAAACGGAGGAGUAUUUAUGUCUGUAAUAAUGCUCCUUUCUGGGGAAAAACGCAUUCCGAUUAGCCAUACAUUAUUUUUCAUGGGGAUCUACUCUUGUGAAUGGUGAUUUUCAUGGAAGGAACCGUGUUUCCUAUUGGUUGGACGGAUUUACGUAUUACAUUUUGAUUCGUCACCGGUGUCCGGGAAAAAUGGCGUCUGAAGAACAGUGCUCGGUACCACUUCGAUGGCGGUCGAUCUCGCUAACCCACAUAGAGUUCCCUGCUGGUGAUCUGACUGGACAAGUGUUGGCCUACACCAGCCUGCUGCCCAUAGCGAUCCUCGUAGGCUUUGUCACCCUCAUAGUGUUCAAGCGUGAACUGCACACGAUCUCCUCCUUCGGUGGGCUCGUCCUGAACGAAGGUGUGAAUUGGCUGCUGAAGCAUAUUCUACGGGAGCCCCGCCCAUGUGAAGGAGCUCACACAACCCUGACAACAGAGUAUGGGAUGCCCUCCAGUCAUUCCCAGUUCAUCUGGUUUUUUGUUGUUUACUUCUUUCUUUUCCUUUAUUUAAGAAUGCAUCAAACGAACAACGCUCGGUGUGUGGAGCUGCUGUGGAGACACAUACUAUCCAUCACCUUGUUGGGCGUGGCCUUAUCAGUGUCAUACAGCAGGGUGUACCUGUUGUACCACACUUGGAGUCAGGUCUUCUAUGGGGGAGUGGCCGGUAGCACCAUAGGAGUAGUCUGGUUCUUCUUCACACAGGAGGUGCUUACACCGCUAUUCCCCAAGAUAGCAGCAUGGCCGAUAUCAGAGUUCUUUCUGGUGCGGGACACAAGCCUGAUCCCCAACAUCCUUUGGUUUGAGUACACAGUGACCAGGUCAGAGGCGAGAAACAGACAACGGAAGCUUGGAACAAAGCUUCAGUGAUCUCAGCAGUUCCUUGGAGAAAUUGAGUAAAGGAACAUACACACACACUCUCACUCACUCACUCAUUAAAAAACACACUGGAGAAUCAAUUAUCUUCUGGACUGACCUGGUUGAAAUGGUAUAAAGGCCAUCGAUUUACAGGUGGACCAAAAGAGUGUCUGGACUCGGCCCGGAUUCCACAGCCUUAGCAAGUCCGUCCAUAUGCCUCUCCUUGUAUAGCUUGCCGAAAUGCUUCCCCAAUGCAUGCAAGACUGUGCAAGAGGCGUUUAAGCGCUCACAUACCGUACAAGCUGGGGCUAGUUUACCUGUUGGAGAUGAUCGAGAAGCAGAGAAAUAAGCGCCACAACACAAGGGGAAGUGUUUUUCUGCACCUCUUACUCACACAGUGAGCAAAGGAGUGUUUUCUCAACCCCUUUCUCCCUGCAUGUCUGACACCCCAGGAGCACAAACGUAGGAUUUGUUUUUCUUUUUUUUUUCUCCAUUUUUGUUGCAGUUCGCGAGAACAUGAAAUGGUGGAUUGCCACUUGUCUUUCCAAACAUUCUUUCACCUACCUUUCCAAAACAUUCCAUAUAUUUUGGUGGAAAAACAAACGAGAUGACUGCUGAGGGAAAAAUGUGUUUUUUUUGUGUUUUUUUUUCAAAGGAAACCUCAGGUCAAUUGUAGCAUUUGAUUACGCUGUGUUCCUCUCAUAAAUGCAACAACUGAUGUUUGAAGCGGUCUGGUGAGGGUCAAAAACUGAUUUGGAAAUGUCAUUAACUCCUUAAAGGGAAGUAGUUCUCUUAGAUUAUCAUUUUUUUUCAUCUAGUGUAACCCAUAUCAGGCUGAAUAAAGACAUUUUGUGUUUA